rnacentral:misc_RNA from 1 species
GAUGAAGAACGUAGUGAAAUGCGAUACUUGGUGUGAAUUGCAGAAUCCCGUGAACCAUCGAGUCUUUGAACGCAAGUUGCGCCCGAAGCCAUCAGGUUGAGGGCACGUCUGCCUGGGCGUCACAUAUCGUUGCCCAAUGCCUAUUGCAGUGCAAUAGGAAUUUCUAGGGCGAAUGAUGGCUUCCCGUGAGCGUUGUUGCCUCGCGGUUGGUUGAAAAUCGAGUCCUUGGCAGGGUGUGCCAUGGUAGAUGGUGGUCGAGUUAGAACGCUACCGAUCAUGUGCAUGCUCCCCAAAAUAUGGCCUCUAUGACCCACACGCGUCUUUUGACGCUCAUGACGAGACCUCAGGUCAGGCGGGGCUACCCGCUGAAUUUAAGCAUAUCAAUAAGCGGAGGA